rnacentral:tRNA from 1 species
CCUGGUGGCUCAGAUGGUAAAGCAUCUGCCUGCAAUGCGGGAGACCCAGGUUCGAUCCCUGGGUCAGGA